AGAGUUUGAUCCUGGCUCAGAACGAACGCUGGCGGCGUGCUUAACACAUGCAAGUCGCGUGCGCAGUUGCCGUAGCAAUACGGUGAUGGGCGCACGGCGCACGGGUGCGUAACACGUGGGCAAUCUGCCCUUUGAUGGGGAAUAACCCGCCGAAAGGCGGGCUAAUUCCGCAUAAGAUUCCCGGAACUUCGGUUCUGGGAUUGAAAGCAGCAAUGCGUCGAAGGAGGAGCCCGCGCCCGAUUAGCUAGUUGGUGAGGUAACGGCUCACCAAGGCUAUGAUCGGUAGCUGGUCUGAGAGGAUGAUCAGCCACACUGGAACUGAGACACGGUCCAGACUCCUACGGGAGGCAGCAGUGGGGAAUCUUGCACAAUGGGCGAAAGCCUGAUGCAGCGACGCCGCGUGGGGGAUGAAGCAUUUCGGUGUGUAAACCCCUUUCGACUGGGACGAAUGCCUCGCAAGAGGAGUGACGGUACCAGUAGAAGAAGCCCCGGCUAACUACGUGCCAGCAGCCGCGGUAAGACGUAGGGGGCCAGCGUUGUUCGGAAUUACUGGGUGUAAAGGGUUCGUAGGCGGUGCGGCAAGUUGGGAGUGAAAUCUCUGGGCUUAACCCAGAGGCUGCUUCCAAAACUGCUGUGCUCGAGUGUGAGAGAGGCGCGUGGAAUUGCAGGUGUAGCGGUGAAAUGCGUAGAUAUCUGCAGGAACACCCGUGGCGAAAGCGGCGCGCUGGAUCACUACUGACGCUGAGGAACGAAAGCUAGGGGAGCAAACAGGAUUAGAUACCCUAGUAGUCC
rnacentral:rRNA from 1 species